rnacentral:lncRNA from 1 species
CUUCUAACGGUUUCGGGAGUUCUUCCACCUCAACCCCCCAGGUCCCCCGUUCUGUAGAUGAACCCAUACCUGGGGCGGGGCCUCGCUCGAUUUUUGCACCGGGUGCCAUUCUCUGCUCCUUGACUCCGGAUGAACUCCUGCUGAUAGGGGUUCAGUACGGAGUUCCUUCAGAGUAUGACCUGGAGCUUCCCGGCCCCUCCGACC